UGGCUAUUGCACUUACAGUAGAAUAUUACAUUCAAGUACAUUUGUUGUUAUUUGGUUGCUCGAAUUAUGGUUUAGGUGACUAAAUUGCUAAGAGCCUAUCAAAUUGUUGUGGUUGCUUUUAUCGAUUUUGUGCUUAUCUGUUUUGGCUUAUUGUAUGUCUUGGUUCUGUUGCCACAGAACACAGAUUUAUCGGCUUGUUUCCAUUUUUUAUCCAUUAACUAAAUCCUAUUCUCUGUUUUUUAGUGGCUCCCAUGUGAGUCUGCUGCCCCCAUCUCCCAUGCAACAUUCUCAUGCGAUAGCCAGCUUAUUUAUGCCAGCUUUUUAGAAUCAUUAUCUUGUUGAAAUCUCGAGUAAUAAUUCUUGCGGUUUCAGUUUAUAGUACUACCCAAAUGGGAAAUAAUUACAGGAUCAAUAAUUGCACUGGCAGUUUCUAAAGUUGUAGUUUCUUUGUAGUCUGUCAGAAACAGUUAAUCUUGAGUAUGAACAUUCCUUCUUUUACUGUUGACAUGAAUUCUCUCUCUUAUAUAGGCAGCUAAGGUUAUUGUUAGCAGCUAAGGGGAAAGCACAUUGAUUGCACAAGACUAUAUGUACCAUCAUUGGUGUGAAGACUAGUUUCCAAGAACAGCUAGGAUUUGCUCUCUGAAAGACUGGAAGUAGCAAAUUAGCACAAGCAGUGGGCGGCCAAGAGUCGGAACUCAUAUACCCAAGAGUAACUUGAUGAGGUGCGGAUUGAAGCGGCUGACUACUUGCAGACUUUGCUAUAGCUAGAUCUUGACAAGCAAUAUGAUUUUGAGUAAGGCUAGAUUUUGUUGACCAUUUUGUAGUAGAUGUAGUGAUAUCAGGAUGAAUUGUGAACAAAUUAUACUGCAUGUAGUUAUUGCGCGCAGUAGUGGUAUCUUCUACACUAGCCUUAAAGUAGGUUAGGGUUUAUUGUGCAAAAUUUUUGAAACUACCUCAAGCUCUAAUUUUGGAUAGAAAUUAAUACAAUUCCCUAAUAUUUAAAGUA